rnacentral:lncRNA from 1 species
CUGUCACCUGUUUUGCAAGAAGCCCUCACCUCCUUGUGGUUUCUUGUAAAUUAAACGUUCACCACCCUCCACCCUCAACUAACUAGUCUGCAUGGUGAGGAUGAAGGAAGGGCCGCACAGCCCUGUCCUAUAGCAUAGAGGAGAGCAGCUACAUCGCGAGAGCAAACCAUGGUUUGGAGGAGAGGUGGUGUGGUCACCCGAUCCUUGCAACAACUGCUUCUAUAGCUCUGCUCCUAUUGCUGCUCACUGCUGGCUAACGUAAAACUGAGACUAAGGAUAAUGUCUCACUGAGGUUUUUGUUUUUCAGCCACUAGCAUGUGGACAGUUUGCAGAUACAGUCUUGACUGGAAUACAAAUCUGCUGGGCAGCUGCAUAUUAAAGACGACAAAGAGAACUUGAUUAGGAGGAGAAAACAAAUAUAAAAUGACUAAGAAAGGAGGAGAAACUUCUCCAAGAGCCUGGAAUUAAACACGUAAUUAUUGGAGUCAAUGCGUGCAUCUGCCACCAGCAAAUAACUUUGAAACCAAUGAAAAGAUUUGGCUACUCCAUGUGACUUCUCUGCGUAGAAGACAGCAACAAAUUACUGGGCAAUUGUUUGUGCUGCAGAUCUAAAUGUUCCAGUAUUGAUCAGAAAUUAUGUGAGGGCCACAUCCGGCUUUUGUCCUCUAGGUUUAGAAAGCACCGAUACCAGCAGGAAAUCAAGAAGGAAAAUGAAAUCCAUCACUACUGCAAAAACAAAGAAAGGAUCAUCUGUUGUUCAGAAGGGUUCAGUUUUAUUACCAGAUUUAUCUUCUAGUCAUAUGAAGAGAAAAAAUAGAAAACAGUUAUCAGAAAAUGUAAAUGAACCUAUGGUUUUAAAACCAGCAACUCUAGUGGAAUCUUACUUAGAUCAGUCUUUACAGAUUUCAUCUCUAAAUAAAGAUAGUAUGCUGGAUGAACUGCGGAUGCUAGGUGAAAUCACUAAACAUCUAAAUCAGAUUAUAAACUCAUUUGAAGAUAUUUAUAAAAAAGAUGUUGAAGUGAAAGAGGAAGAAGAGGUACAAGAAGGCUCAAGUGUAUGUGUAAGAGUAAUCUUUUGAUACACUAGAGAUUUUAUAGCAUUGCUUAGAAUUAUAAUAUCACUGUAAGUG